rnacentral:misc_RNA from 1 species
CUUCCAGCACCAACUUUUUUCUCCCAAACUACCUCAUAGAAAGAGAUUCCGCCAAGUCCACUUCCAAUUUCAGCGCCCAAAUCAUAAGUCCCAUUGAAACUUCCUCUCAAAGUACCACCAUCUAUAAGCUUAGUUUGCUCAUGAUACAAUAUGGGUUGAUUCAUACACCCAGUUCCAAAGCAAGGAAACCCUCCUGAACUAAAAGGGGGUACCUUUUUCCCAUUCUGAGGACACAAACCAGACUUUGUGUCAUAGUUACCAUUUUUAAGCAUAACCAUCCAAAACUGCCAUGGAUAUGGCUUAUCAUCAACUUCACAUAAAGAACCCAGAUAAAG